UACGUAGGUGGCAAGCGUUGUCCGGAAUUACUGGGCGUAAAGCGUGCGCAGGCGGUUUUGUAAGUUCAGCUGUGAAAUCCCCGGGCUCAACCUGGGAAUCGGCAGUUGAGACUGCAAGGCUAGAGUGUGUCAGAGGGGGUAGAAUUCCACGGUGUGAGCAGUGAAAUGCGUAGAGAAUGUGGAGGAAUACCGAUGGCGAAGGCAGCCCCCUGGGAUAACACUGACCGCUCAUGCACGAAAGCGUAGGGGAGCGGAA
rnacentral:rRNA from 1 species